rnacentral:sRNA from 1 species
GCUGGGUGCAGUGGCACACACCUGUAAUCCCACUGGCUUGGGAGGCUGAGGCAGGAGGAUUUAGAGUUCAAAGCCAGCCUCAGCAAUGGCAAGGCUUGCUAAGCAAAAUCCUUGAGAUCCUGUCUCAA